UGAACCUGCGGAGGGAUCAUUACACAAUUAAAAUAUGAAGGCUUCGGCUGGAUUAUUUUUAUCACCCUUGUCUUUUGCGCACUUGUUGUUUCCUGGGCGGGUUCGCCCGCCACCAGGACCACACCAUAAACCUUUUUUAUGCAGUUGCAAUCAGCGUCAGUAUAACAAAUGUAAAUCAUUUACAACUUUCAACAACGGAUCUCUUGGUUCUGGCAUCGAUGAAGAACGCAGCGAAAUGCGAUACGUAGUGUGAAUUGCAGAAUUCAGUGAAUCAUCGAAUCUUUGAACGCACAUUGCGCCCUUUGGUAUUCCAAAGGGCAUGCCUGUUCGAGCGUCAUUUGUACCCUCAAGCUUUGCUUGGUGUUGGGCGUCUUUUGUCUUUGGCCUUGCCCAAAGACUCGCCUUAAAACGAUUGGCAGCCGGCCUACUGGUUUCGCAGCGCAGCACAUUUUUGCGCUUGCAAUCAGCACAAGGACGGCAAUCCAUCAAGACUACAUUUUUACGUUUGACCUCGGAUCAGGUAGGGAUACCCGCUGAACUUAAGCAUAUCAAUAA
rnacentral:rRNA from 1 species